CUAGCUGCUCACCCACAUUCACAGCUACAAUGAGUAGGACUUCUACAAACUUCCUCACCACAGUUCCGGUUUGGAGGCACUGCCAUUAUCAGGUCGUCUGGGGAGGAGAAAAUUUAUCCAAGAUUCUACAAAUGACUUCAUUUUGCACACCCAAAAGAAUGAGACCUCUAGGACAGUUGAACAGAAGGAUAAAGGAUUUUCUCCAGUCAUGAAAAUAUCAAACAUAAUAUUGAAGUAAGCCUUUCAAGUAUCUUUUCUUGACACUGUAUGGAUUGAAGACAUAAUUGUUUGUUUAAUCUCCCUCAGAAGAAAUUGUUAAAUCAAUUUGGAUUUGUGUGGAUUUAUGUAUUCAGAUAGAAU